GUUCAUCAACUCAAGCCUUAACAUGGAGCUGAGGACCUUGAGAUAUUUCCCAGAAGGAGAACAGAAUUGCUACACCUUGAAGCCUGAGCAAGGCAGAUCAAACAACUAUCUCAUCAGAGCGGUGUUCAUGUAUGGAAACUAUGAUGGCAAAAAUCAAACUCCAGUGUUCCAAUUGUAUCUUGGGGUUAAUUCAUGGACAACGGUGAAAGACUCAUAUGUUGUACAUGAGAUCAUAUAUGCUCCCUUGACAGAUGCCAUACAAGUGUGUCUUGUGAACAAAGACAAUGGAACACCAUAUAUUUCUGCACUGGAAGUUAGGCAAUUGGACAACUCCCUCUACCAAUCAGGUAAUGGAGCACUGGCCUUGAAUUCGCGAAUCAACCUUGGUGGCUCGAAUAAGAUAAUCAGGUACGCCGAUGAUAUAUAUGAUCGCAAAUGGAAUCAUGAUCAGAAAAAUGAAUGGAUCCCAGUGACAUUGGCACCCAACUUGACAAUUGAGACCAGCAACAAUGGCUACAAAGUACCAAACAAAGUGUUAGGAACUGCUGUCAAGUGUGUCAGUGGCCCCAUAUACGUCUCAUGGCAAUCCAAGUUCACAAUUUCAAAAUUUUAUGUUUACUUUCAUUUUGCUGAAAUAGAAAAGCUUGAGGGUGGGAAACAAAGAACACUCAAUAUCCGUUUCAAUGAUUUUUAUAACUUGGAAACUCUUACUCUGGACUAUCUAAAGACACAAACUGUUGCCAGUUUUGCUCUUACUGGGGAGACAAAAUAUAACUUCUCUAUUUCUGGUGUGGACAGUGGCCUUCCUCCAAUCCUUAACGCCUAUGAAAUUUACCAGCACAAAGACUUUUAUCGCUUGCCAACAAUCGAGAAAGAAGUGGAUGCUAUCAUAAACAUUAUAAACACAUACGGCAUAAUUGGAGAGUGGCAGGGCGAUCCAUGUUUUCCUUCUUCAUGGAACAUUUUGAAUUGCAGCUCCAUCAGUCCUCCAAAUAUCAUUUCUUUGAACCUUAGUUCAAGAGAACUGACAGGAAAUAUAGCUGUUUCAUUCUCCAACCUCAGAACGAUAGAAUCUUUGGAUCUAUCACACAAUCAAUUGACAGGUCCAAUUCCAGAAUUUCUAGCUCAACUGCCAUACUUGAGAGUCCUCAAUUUAAUGGGGAACCAGCUUGAAGAUGCAGUUCCCAAGGCUCUUAUGGAAAAGCACAAUAGCGGAGGGUUAACAUUAAAUGUGGAUGGAAAUCCAGAUCUUUGUUUGGUGGGUUCAUGCAAAGGAAAAAACAGGAAGGUUGUUGCCAUUGUUGCACCAACUGUAUCAGUUGUGGUCCUCAUAAUACUAUGUGCUCUAGCAUUCUAUCGUAUCCGUGAAAAGAAAAGAAAAGGGACGAGAAGAGAAUGGUCACUGAAAGCAAAGAAUUGGAGAUUUACAUACUCUGAGAUUGUGAAUAUCACCAAUAACUUCAAAUCUGUUAUUGGAGAAGGUGGAUUUGGAAGAGUCUACCACGGCAGGCUAGCUAACACAUGGAAUUGAAGUUGCUAUCAAGGUGCUUUCUUCAUCAUCAAGACAAGGGUCCGACGAAUUUCAAAAUGAGGUGGAGCUCUUAUUGGGAAUUCAUCACAAGAACUUGGUUUCUCUUUUUGGAUACUGCAAUGAAGGUGGAAAUAUGGCACUCGUUUACGAUUAUAUGGCCUGUGGAAAUUUGCAACAGCAUCUAUUAGCAGAUAGAAGCACAAACGUUUUAACCUGGAAAGAAAGACUUGAAAUCGCAGUGGAUGCAGCACGAGGAUUGGAUUAUCUGCAUAAUUGUUGCAAGCCACCAAUCGUCCACAGAGAUCUCAAGACUUCCAACAUCUUACUAAGUGAAGACUUGCAAGCCAGGAUAGGCGAUUUUGGGCUCUGCAGAGUCUUCACAACUGACAACGAGACUCAUAUAUCAACCGAUGCUAAGGGUACUCGCGGAUACGUUGAUCCUGAAUAUUAUCAUACUGGGAAGCUGAAUAGGAAGAGUGAUGUUUAUAGCUUUGGGAUUGUUCUGUUGGAGCUGAUAACUGGCCUGCCUGCAAUAAUAAAAGGCCCUCCAGUGGUAGAGUUAUGUGAUUGGGUGGGUCCCCAUGUUCAAGGAAAGGGCAUUGGAGAUAUAGUUGAUCCAAGAUUAGAAAGCUAUAACAUAAAUUCUGCCCGGAGAGCCAUAGAAGUGGCAAUGGCUUGCAUACCAUCAAUAGCAAUCCAGAGGCCAGACAUCAGCUAUGUCUAUGAUGAGUUGAAGGCAUGUUUGAAAAUGGAGAUGGCUUCUGAGAAACCUCAGAUAAUGGAAGGCUACCAGACCUGGUCGAGCAGUUCAAUUCAUACCACUCCUUUGGACCCCAAAGUUGAAAUGCACCAUACUUGCUAGUUACACUUUAUUGUUAUUGUGCGAGUGGGCGACUGCUCUUAACAUAACUCUAUAUUGUAUAUACCUCUACUUUUAUGGCACAUAUGCAUAAUUGUCCCUAGCUCUAGCGUAUAUACACAUACCUUCUACUUUUGUUGUCACGAAUCAUGAUGUUUGGCGAGUGAGAUCUUUGGUGGAUCAGAAAAUAUAUGCCUUCCUUUCACAAUCACCAUGAACAUAAACUAAUGAUGAUCGGUGAGAAAUACAUAGAGUUUGUGGCUUUAUAUAUAUAAGUUUUUACUUUUUACAUGGAAAAGUUACCGUGGUACAUCCAGGAUAUAUAUGCACAUCUAGUACAGUAAACCAAUACAUCUUACACACCACAUUGAGGCUUGUUUAAGACCCAAGAUGCAGCCCCAA